GGCGGAAUCACCGCAACAGAGGAGCCAUUUCUGCGAAACGGAGCAGCCCAGAAAGCAAGAAGCCCUGAAGUAUUUCCAGAGAGCAAGUGCUGAGAUACUGUGGGUACUGGAGAUGUUUCUACGUGACAAAAGUUGAUAAAACUGGAAGCCGCUGUUUCUUCUGUUUAAGCUCCUGCCUGUUUUGCUUCACUCUGUUCUUCCCGGAGUCCCAGAGCUGAUGUCAUUUCAAGGCUACUCUAAUGCUACUGUGGUCCUGGAAAUAAAGACUUCUUCCUAUUUGAAUUUUAUACAACUGAAAGGACUCAAAGUUUUGCUUCAUAGAACAGAGGAUUCCACAGCCUGACAGAAACAUCUGCGCAUUACAGUGAUAUGCAUAAAAAGGUUCCAUCAGAGCAAUAAAGCCCUGGUUUAAAUCCUGGCUAACAGAAACCAAACCUUUUCAAAAGUUGUAUAUGCACAAUGAUGUAAAAAAUGUUGGACUGCAGGCAUUACCAACUGUUAAAGUUUAGUCAAGUAAUUUUAGAAUAAUUAAGAACCAAUUUACUAAACAUUGAGAAGUUCUAUACUGAUGCUCUCUGACGUGCAAUGCCUUUUACAGCACAACAGCCUUAUUCUCUGGCCCAGCAAACGGGACAGUACCCCAUCAUUGUAACAAGGCCCAACAUUCUGUGCAUGAGAACCACACUAACCAAUUCAUUGAUACUUUGGGGUCUACUAGAAUCUGGCCGACAUGGGAAGUGGGCUGCAAGUAGGACCUUAGUUAGACUCAAACACAUACUUUGGCGAGAUGCAACAUAAACACCUCACAACAGUGAGUGAUGUGUCCAUACUGGACUUGCA